GAGUGGUUUAAUUUUCUUGCGUAAUGAAAAUUUAUUGAGUACUUUCUGAGUACAUAGCAUUGGGCUAAGGACUACUGAUGUAUGAUUUAAUUCAUUCAUUUAUUCAACAUGUGUUUAUUGAGCGCUGCUGUAGGUGUUAGAAUACAGUAGUGAAAAAAAAAAACAGAUAAAAAUCCCUAUGCUAUUGGAGCUUACAUUCUAAGGGGAAGAGACAGGCCAUAAAAAAGUAAACAUAGUAAGAAGUAAAUCAUAAAGUGUUAGAAUGUGAUAAAAUGUUACUUAAAACUAUUUUAAGUAAGAUGGUUAAGGAGACUCAUCGAGAGAUGCCUGAAGAAGGAGCAGGAGUUUUACUAUGUGGAUACUGGGAGCCUCACAUACAGGCAGAAGGACCAGCCAGUGCAAAGGCCCUGAAGUAUACAAGAUGUAUCUGAGAAACAGCAAUGAGGCCAGAGUGGUCUCAGCGAAGUGAAGUUGAGGACUAGGCAAUGAGGUCAAAGAGAAAAUGACCUUAUAGGUCAUUUCAGGACUCUGGCUUUUACAUUGAGUGUGAUAGAAAGCUACUGGGGUGUCAGGGGCAGAGGAGGUAUAGGAUUCAUAUUAUAACCAGAUCACUCCGGCUGCAGCAUUGAGAAUAGAUCAUAGGAAGGCAAGGGUGCAAGGGAGAAGGAUGCAAGAGAAGAGGCUCUAGUGGGAAUCCAGGGAGAGCCCCAGUGGCUUAAACGAAGAUGGUAGCAGUGGACAUGGAGACAUGUGAAUAUAUUUUAGAGAAAAAUUCAGCAGGAUUUCCUGAUGUGUUGUCAUGCGGUAUAAGAGAAAGUGUGGAAUUAGUGACUCUAAGGCUUUUGUUGUUAUUGUUGGGUUUGGUUUGGGGUUUUUGUUUGCUUUUUCAUUUUUUCCUGAGCAACUGAAAGGAUAGAGUUAUUUUCCAGAUGGGAAGAUUGUGGGUGGAAACUGUUUGGGGAAGAAUAUUAAAGUUUGCUUUCAGUGACUUGAGUUUGAUCCUCAAGCGAAGCCAUCUAGGAGGCGUUGGACCUGAGCAUUUGGAGUUGGGAGAGGAAACUAAGAACUGGAGAGAAGAUAUCAGAGGCUUAAGGAGAAUGGAUAAGAAUCCAGCCAGGACUGUGAAGCCCCAGGGAAUGGCUGCACUUGAAGUCAGAAGGAGCCUGGGUCCCUGAAUCAUCAUGUGGAAGGCUCUCCACCCAGUUCAAUGGUGCAAUGGACCACAAGCAGGAACUUAAUUUAGAAUGUGCUUAUUUUGUUAGAUUUUGUAAUUAAAAAAUGGAUCCCACUCUG